ensembl:lncRNA
CGGAUGGAAGAGAGAAGGAAACGGAAGGCACGGGAGUAGGAGAACCAGGAAAAGCGGCGGAAGAAGGCAACCGAGUGGAGAAGCAUGAGAGAGAAGAAAGCGAGGGAGGAGUGUUGGAGAAGAAGACGGGGGAGGAGUGUGGGGAUAGACCCAGGGUGCAGGGCACCCCGGAGCCAAACACUAUUCCUGCAUCCUGGGUUGAUGAGAUGGAGGAAGAGGGGGGGAUGUCGGGAGUACAGAUGGUGUUCUCACCGGUAGAUAUGGAGCAGGGGAGCAUCGGGUGAGUCUCCUGUUUUUGUUUUUUUUUCUGUCUGGGUUUAGAAUUUGAGUGUAUUACAUGAUUUUAUUUUAUUUUUUCAUGGCAUCUAAUUUUACUUUUGUUAGUUUAAAUGUAAGGGGUUUAAGGGAUUUUGUUAAGAGGAGGGCGGUUUUUAGUUAUUUGGAGGUUGUGGGGUUUGAUUUUUGUUUUUUACAGGAGGUUCACCUGAGGGAUGGAGGGGAUGUUAGUAAGUUUAAGAGGGAGUGGGACAAGGGGGACAUCGGGUGAGUCUCCUGUUUUUGUUUUUUUUCUGUCUGGGUUUAGAAUUUGAGUGUAUUACAUGAUUUUAUUUUAUUUUUUCAUGGCAUCUAAUUUUACUUUUGUUAGUUUAAAUGUAAGGGGUUUAAGGGAUUUUGUUAAGAGGAGGGCGGUUUUUAGUUAUUUGGAGGUUGUGGGGUUUGAUUUUUGUUUUUUACAGGAGGUUCACCUGAGGGAUGGAGGGGAUGUUAGUAAGUUUAAGAGGGAGUGGGACAAGGGGGAGUCGGUUUGGGGUAUUGGGGGGGUGCACUCAUCGGGGGUAGGGAUUUUGUGUGGGCACAGGGAGGUAAAAGUGGAGGAUUCUUUUGUGGUAAUGCAGGGGAGGGUUAUAGGGGUGGAUGUCACAAUAAGGGAUUGUAAAUUUAGAUUAGUGGUGGUGUAUGGGCCACAGGUGGUGGCAGACAGGAGGGAGAUGGUGGACUGUCUGACGCCCCUGUGUGUCACAAAUAGGAAAUUAGUGAUAGGGGGGGAUUUUAAUACAGAUUUAGGAAUAGGGGGAUAGCAGUGCAGGCGCCAUUACCAGGCUAAUGGCUUGCCAUGGUCUGGUUGAUGGUG